rnacentral:tRNA from 1 species
GUUCAUUUAGUAUAUAAUUAUAUUAGACUUCCAAUCUAAAGAUCCCCUAAUUAGUGGAAUGAACA